rnacentral:rRNA from 1 species
UACGUAGGGUGCAAGCGUUGUCCGGAAUUAUUGGGCGUAAAGAGCUCGUAGGCGGUUUGUCGCGUCUGCUGUGAAAACUCGGGGCUUAACUCCGGGCUUGCAGUGGGUACGGGCAGACUAGAGUGCGGUAGGGGAGACUGGAAUUCCUGGUGUAGCGGUGAAAUGCGUAGAUAUCCGGAGGAACACCAGUGGCGAAGGCGGCCGCCUGGACCUGACCUGACGCUGAGGCGCGAAGGCGUGGGGAGCGAACGGG